GCCGCUGUGGCGGAAUUGGCAGACGCACGUGACUCAAAAUCACGCGGUUAAUAGCCGUGCCGGUUCGAGUCCGGCCAGCGGCA
rnacentral:tRNA from 1 species